UUCUAGCCCCGAUUGAACGGCAUGUUUGAGCUCAUCCCAAAUAGCGAGGAAAAAGCUUGGCUUUGGGAUAGCGAGUAGUGAAAGCGGGAUUAGCU
rnacentral:misc_RNA from 1 species